UGGCGGCCUUAGCGCGGUGGUCCCACCUGACCCCAUGCCGAACUCAGAAGUGAAACGCCGUAGCGCCGAUGGUAGUGUGGGGUCUCCCCAUGUGAGAGUAGGGAACUGCCAGGCA
rnacentral:rRNA from 7 species